AUGGGAAAGUGCAUCAGAUUUGGGAGGGACUUCUCUCAUUUCUUUUGGAGAGACAAGAGAAGCAGUCGCCUCUCUCUUGAAAAACGCUCUCCCUUUGUGCCGGCGACACUGCCAAAAUCCGGCGACUGUGAUGGCCCCUCCCCCAUCACUGUUCUUCACCCUCACUAUCUCUCAUACUCCAUCUCUCUCCCGUCCCCUUUUGUUCCAGCGUGGCUACCGUUACAGAGCCACCACCAGAGGUGAUUACCGGCUGAUUGGUUUCAUUUUUUAGGUUCUCGUUGUUUCUCACUCUCUUAUGGUGUUGCUGUUAUUAUGGUUCUUCAUUGCCGGUGACCAACUAUGCAGACCAGAUCUGGCCGUUCUUCGCUAUUUUCUGGCAACCUUCUGGUGAAAAGCUAAAAGAUGCAUUGCCACUGUCGCUUUUACGCUACUGUCCUACGAUGGCAACGUUUAUGAGAUUUUGAUUACUCCGGCGAUUUGGUUUGAUCGGAUUCACAUUUUCCAGCUGCUUUGUGCUUUUUUCGGUGGCUGUUGUUUUGCACUCUCAUUUUUGCCUAUGAUUCUACAUAUCUAUGGUUAAUUGACUGGAUAGAUUCUUAGCCUUGUAUCUAUGUUUGGCUAGGGAGGGAAAACUAAGCUUGAAAUUGUUCUCUUUUGUGGGGGUUCGACUGAAGUUCGACGACAGUCCUCCGUUUUCCGUUAAUCUGUUGGUCAGGACAUGGAUGCCUUACUACUGUUUCGUUCACCUUUACUAUUACCUUAGUGCCAUUAUUGCUGCAUUUUUUAGUUCCAAAAUAUUUGUGACAGUGUUACAUUGGAAACAUUUUGGACAUUGUUUGGGUCA